CCGGAAGUGCCGGAACUACGCCGGCAUCGUCCACAGGCGUUCACAGGGAGCGUGGCAAGCUGCGGAGCAGGAUGUCCCUGAGGCGCCCGGCCGGCCUGCGCCCAGCCGCCUGCUCCCCCAGGCCGGCUGCCAAGGCGCUGAGAGAGCUCGGCUAAGAACCCCCCACGCCUUACAGCUCAGCCCGUUGAAUCACCCCGUGACUCUUUUUCGAGCCCCGCGUUGGUGGGUGCCACGGGCGGCGGUGCACUUCGCCUUCAUUGGCGUGGCUUAGGCGGCAGAGCUGGGCUUAGGUCCUGCGGCCUGCGGGACGGACUUGCUCCAGAGUCUGCAGAGCCCACGCCCCCGAGGCCGCGAGAGAGGGAAAUGCGUGCGCCCGGUAUGCUGACGGCUCUGUGCGGUGCUCCCUGAUUCCGAGGAACUGCCGUCCAAGCUCCUUCACGCUCACAUUGAGAGCAUCUCCGUUCCCCAGGGUGGUUGGAAAAAUGAGUCAGAGUCCACCACGUCUCCUUCUCAGGGCUGGUGUGUGGUGGGACCAGAGGCCGAAGCGGUUAGCACAGCCGGCCUGCUGGGCACUCUCAGACGGGAGCACACUCGGGAGUUUGCCAGUGGCCAGGGAGGCCUUGCUGAAAUGUCCGUGGCAGUGUCGGCACUCGGGCCCGAAGGACGGGAGCGUCAAGGGGCUACUGAUGGUGAGGGGUCACUCCGGGAGGUUCUCAUCUGGGAGUGAGCUGGGAGCAGACCCCCAUUGGAAAUAAGCGAGGCGGACGGUUCGCGCAGGACUGAAGCCAGGGCUCCGGCUUGGAUCCUCCUGGAACGGCCAAUGUAGAGGCCCCGUGGAGGGCAGGACAGCUGGGAGGAGCAGAGGGGUCCGCCUGGAAAGACCUCUGAGGCUCAGAGCCCAUGGCACUGGCUGGGACUGCAGGCCCCGUGAAGCAUCUGGCGUCCGCACCCGCUCACCACGCCACCGUGCUGGAUGCUCACGGCAUCAGUAACCACACAGUGCGGCCCCACGGAGUACUUCCCGCACACCUGGCAGUCUGUGGGCUCACACUGUCCAGAGCAUGUUCGCCCGUGAGACAGCUGCUGAAGCAAGAGCUGUCUGGAACUAAGUAGAACACGGCUGACAGGUGCCCAGGAGCACGUCCGGAGCCCAAGGCCCCUCCAGCCCGUCACUGUCCCCUUGGUCCCACGUGGUCAGAGGUUCCAUUCAGGUGUUUCUGGAGAGAAGGCAAAUGAGCAGCGUCUCUCGCGAAACUUUGUCCUUUUACUCAGAAAGGAAUGCGCUUACCAAAAUUUCUAUCUGUGCUCAUGGACAGGAACCGGGGCGCGUGGCCCACGUGGCCGCAGGGAGCCUGGGAAGGUGAGCCGUCAUCAGGAAGCAUGGCCGCCCCAACAAGCUCAGGGUCCUCUCAGGGAACAAGGGGGUAUGGUGGACAUGUGUUGGCUGACGUGGCUGUGCCCACCGUCCUGGGAUGUGAUGACCAUUUUCAUUUUCAUAAUUUGAUGGAGGAGGAGAUUAAGGGACAGGCAAGCCAGGUCAUUUCUUUCCUGAAGACUACCUAAUAGACGGGGAACCGUAUCUCUCUGAGACCAUAGGCAACCUGAGAGCAGGACUGUGUGUUUGUCCUUUGCCCUGUGUAGCUGUGACCCCAUCACCAGACAGAAUGUCACUUGGAUCGAUGCCUGAUCGAAUGCCACGUUGAUGGCCCAGUAAAGUCCCGUGCAUGUCUCAGGCUUCCCCGUCCUCCCUCUCAGAGGAAAGAGUUCCAGAAGCCUCCCCAUGCCGGCAUGCAGUUCCUCUGGGCCCAGGCAGCGUGGGUGUGCCGGGAGGACCAGUUUCGGCCGACUGCCAUCCCAGCCACGUUCAGCUGAGCUCACCAGGACCGAACAAGGCCCGAAGUGUCUCAAAGAGUGUUUUUAACAAGUUGUAAAUAAUAUCUCACCAAGUCCCAUCGCUGCCUAGAAUUGAUGCAGCUGGUGAGAAGUAGUCAUGAUCCCGUGAAUCAUUUGUCCAUUUACAAGAACAUUUCAUUCACCUCCUUCCAGAAGGAUGCACAGAACACGCUUUAAAAGAAGGCGUAACUGGAACUGACAUAUGGGAAGGCUGUGUUGCAUUCCAGUUCCUCACUGGCUCAUGCGGUGUGUGCAGAAGAAGGGAUACUCGUAAUUACUGGGGAUUUUUAAAAAAAUAGAGAUAAUUUGUCUUAAGAAGAAACAUGGGCAUCUGCAGAAUGAUGACUUUGUCUCCCCGUGGUCUGCUCUUGGGUCAGAAACGUGGCCAGUACCCUGCCAUGUGAUUGCUGGCUUCUGGCCCUACUCUCUCACUCUCGAAGAAAGGGCGUAUGUCUCAGCCUCCUGCAGAACCACCCCGUUCUUGCCUCUUGUCGCCCCUGCUAAGGCUGAGCAUGGAUCUCCGUAUGUUGGCACGUGAACUAAGGAUUAAGCCUCUGGAAGAAAGUCAGAAUAUCUCUAAUGGGGAAGUCUUUCCUGCUACAGCGACCAUCCCUAUGACAGUUGGGCUUAAGGAGGAAGGGGGGUAGCUUGGAUGACCAGGGUUGCAUCAGCCCGCAAACCGAGCAGCCACGCCACGUAACAAAGCAUCCGACCCUCAGUGACUUGAGACAAAGGCUAUUUCUUCUCAUGACCAGGGUUCUGCGGGUUCACCUCGCUACAGCUGAUCUGGGCUACCCUCAUUCUGGGGCGGGCGAGUGGGGCAUGGCUUUAGGCUCCUGAAUAGGCUUGGGUCUUUUCCUCAGCUUUCUGCAGAGGCCAUAUCUGAAGUGGCGCCUCUGCCUGGUGCAUAACCUUCUCGGGGGAUCCCAGGAAUGAAAGCUUGCCCAACUCCAGGGCACAAGGACAUGGCAAGCCUCUGGAGGCAUUGCAUCAAGAAUAGCUCAUUAGCCCAGACAGGUCACAUAAUCCACCCAUGUGGACCACCAUG